rnacentral:rRNA from 1 species
AGCGAACGCUGGCGGCGGGCCUAACACAUGCAAGUCGAACGAAGUCUUCGGACUUAGUGGCGGACGGGUGAGUAACACGUGGGAACGUGCCUUUAGGUUCGGAAUAACUCAGGGAAACUUGUGCUAAUACCGAAUGUGCCCCUCGGGGGAAAGAUUUAUCGCCUUUAGAGCGGCCCGCGUCUGAUUAGCUAGUUGGUGAGGUAAAGGCUCACCAAGGCGACGAUCAGUAGCUGGUCUGAGAGGAUGAUCAGCCACAUUGGGACUGAGACACGGCCCAAACUCCUACGGGAGGCAGCAGUGGGGAAUCUUGCGCAAUGGGCGAAAGCCUGACGCAGCCAUGCCACGUGAAUGAUGAAGGUCUUAGGAUUGUAAAAUUCUUUCACCGGGGACGAUAAUGACGGUACCCGGAGAAGAAGCCCCGGCUAACUUCGUGCCAGCAGCCGCCGUAAAAC